rnacentral:rRNA from 1 species
UACGUAGGGUCCGAGCGUUGUCCGGAAUUAUUGGGCGUAAAGGGCUCGUAGGCGGUCUGUUGCGUCGGGAGUGAAAACUUACAGCUUAACUGUGAGCGUGCUUCCGAUACGGGCAGACUUGAGGUAUUCAGGGGGAGAACGGAAUUCCUGGUGUAGCGGUGAAAUGCGCAGAUAUCAGGAGGAACACCUAUUGCGAAGGCAGCUCGCUGGGACGUUACUGACGCUGAGACGCGAAAGCGUGGGGAGCAAACAGG